GGAUUGGAGAGAUAUCAGGGAAAAAUAAAUAUUUAGCUGUGCAGAAACCUAGGCUGCUCCUGUUCUGGAGGACCUGUGUGUAAAAUUUGUGAUGUUGCUAUAUUAGUGAUACUAGUGUGCCUUUAUUGGCAAGAUUUAAUUGCAUAAAAUUGCACUUAAAUACUACUUUUAAUAUUUUAGGCACAGAAACAGAGCAUAGUGAAUAGGAGCAAUAGUAAGUAUUCCUGAAGGCUACUUGCAGAAACUAUAAGAAAGCUUGACAAACAGAGCUCGGGUUGUUUUUGAAGAUAAAAAAUAAAAACUAAAAAUAAUUUUUAGGUUUGAAAGAAGUGUACAAACUCUUUUUUGUCUUCUAUACUGAAUUUCCUGAUUUUUUUGCACAGUUCAGGAAAUUGCUGCAUCUAUUCCCCUUUUCAUGCAAAUUAUAAAGAAAGAGGGGUGACAUUUAAAAACAACAAAUAGCCCCGUGAGUCAACAGACGUACAAAUUUAAGACAUAAUACUAAUAUAGCAAUUUAAUUAGAAAUAUUGUCACUCCAAUGUGCAGUGGUACAAUACACAGUGAAAUGAGACAAAGUUCCUCCAAGACCAUGGUGCGACAUGUAACAUAUAACAGACAAUCAACACAGGACUACAUAAAGUUAUUAAACAAAAUAGCGAUUUCAAAAAGUGACUCCUUACUUCCAGAUAUGGUUUUGCUUCCUCAAAUUAACUUUCAUGAUUCACUUGUGCAGCAGCUCUUACGUUUGUCAGUGGUAGGGAACCUUCAAAACUCUGGAGAGGUGAUGAUACUUCUCUGUCAAAUCUGUAAACUAACCAUGUAAAACCUCUCCAUUGGUAUCAUUUACUGAACUUGUGGAUAGUUGUGCUCUUUACCCCGACAUGAUUUAAAUGUUUCCAAAGGAAGCACCAGCAUUCAAAUUUAAUUUUCAGAUAUCAGAGUCUCAGUGUUUGUGUGCAUCAUCAUCAGAAAUAAUACGCCCCAUGACCCAAAUGCACCAUUGCAAAUAAGUAUUUGCAUUCAGUAAACCUGACAACAGAACCAUGCCACUGCAAACACUGGGCAUCUAUGCUGGGUAAAGAAAAAAAAAUUUAGGCUGUGUUUACUUUUUUGAGUGAGAAAAUCACAUAAAUUUGUUUAUCCAAGUCAACAUUUAAGAUCUAAAAACUGGACUGACUCUCUCUCUCUGUGUUGUUAAUCGAAAAAUCAUUAAAGUUAUACAACACUCUUUACAGUAAGGAGCACAAUAAUUGUAAUAAUAAUAGUAAAUUUUAUUUAUAGGCACCUUUAAAGGCCCUCGAUGUCACCUUACAUUAGUACAACAAAAUAAAGACAUAAGAAAAACAAAUUUACAAACAAUUAUAAAAGCUAAUGAAGGUAAAAACAGACUAAGACUGAGUCAUGAUGAAGAAUAUCCAAUUCUGAAUGGAUGGGUUUUAACACCUGAUAUACCUGAAGUAGAGAGAGAGUUUGUAGUUUGAAGAUCUGGUUGAAGUGGAUUCCAAAGUCUUGGGGCAGAACAACUACAGGCUCUGAGUCUCAUGGUAGUCAGGUGAGCAGGUGGAACAGACAGAAGGGAAGCUGAAGAAGAACAAAGUGUACGAGGGGGUAAGUACGUAUGGAGAGGAUCAGAUAAAUAUGGAGGAGCAAGGUUAUGAAGGGCUUUGAAAGUAAGAAGUCGGACCUUGAAA
rnacentral:lncRNA from 1 species